UGUUAAAAAUUUCAUCCACUUGUAUUAUUAAAAAUUGGGGUAGUUGACAGAAUAACUAUAUAAUGACACAUGGUAUGCCACGUGUACCUCAUGUUGAGGUACAAAGACCGACUUUUAAUAGUAAAAAAUGGAUGAAAUUUUUAACA
rfam:Gossypium hirsutum cultivar TM-1 unplaced genomic scaffold scaffold290.1, whole genome shotgun sequence